GAUGAACGCUAGCGAUAGGCUUAACACAUGCAAGUCGAGGGGCAGCAUGAUCUUAGCUUGCUAAGGUCGAUGGCGACCGGCGCACGGGUGCGUAACGCGUAUGCAACUUGCCUUACAGAGGGGGAUAACCCGUUGAAAGACGGACUAAAACCGCAUACACUUGUAUUAUUGCAUGAUAUUACAAGGAAAUAUUUAUAGCUGUAAGAUAGGCAUGCGUCCCAUUAGCUGGUUGGUGAGGUAACGGCUCACCAAGGCGACGAUGGGUAGGGGAACUGAGAGGUUUAUCCCCCACACUGGUACUGAGACACGGACCAGACUCCUACGGGAGGCAGCAGUGAGGAAUAUUGGUCAAUGGGCGAGAGCCUGAACCAGCCAAGUCGCGUGAAGGAAGACAGUCCUAAGGAUUGUAAACUUCUUUUAUACGGGAAUAACGGGCGAUACGAGUAUUGCAUUGAGUGUACCGUAAGAAUAAGCAUCGGCUAACUCCGUGCCAGCAGCCGCGGUAAUACGGAGGAUGCGAGCGUUAUCCGGAUUUAUUGGGUUUAAAGGGUGCGUAGGUUGUUCGGUAAGUCAGCGGUGAAACCUGAGCGCUCAACGUUCAGCCUGCCGUUGAAACUGCCGGGCUUGAGUUCAGUGGCGGCAGGCGGAAUUCGUGGUGUAGCGGUGAAAUGCAUAGAUAUCACGAGGAACUCCGAUUGCGAAGGCAGCUUGCCAUACUGCGACUGACACUGAAGCACGAAGGCGUGGGUAUCAAACAGG
rnacentral:rRNA from 1 species